UUAGGAUUUGGAAAUGACCGA
rnacentral:piRNA from 1 species